rnacentral:lncRNA from 1 species
UUUUUUUUUUUCUGUAUUCUCUUCCUUUCUUUCUUUUCCUCUAUGGCUUUUCUUCUCAGUUCUGAAUUGAUUUCCUUUCUUUUUUCAUUUAUUUUGGCGCAUUUUUCUUGGCUUCCUUCGGUCUUUGAUCUGUGCAGCUCCUAUUUCCUUUCUUUUGAUCCAUUUUUCUUGGUUUUCUUUGGUGUUUGAUCGAUGCAAGUACUAUUCUUUUUGGUUUCUUUGAACCCUAAUUGUAAAUGUGGUAGAAUUUACCGUUCUUGGUGAGAAAUAAGUUGAUUGUUCAAUUUUUUUUCAUAAAGAUCAGAUAUGAGGUACGCGAAGCCUCUAGAGGGGUUCCAUUUUGCACAGCUUCGCUGGGUUCCAAGAGUUUUUUUAUUUCCUUUUUCUUCAGCUUGGGGAGGGGAGAGAGACUUGUUUAGUUGUAAGCAUAAAGCAGCUGCUUAGAAUUUCAUUUGGGCAUCCUAUUAAACAAUUUAGAUAAAGUCUUGAGAUUGAAAUGGGAAAAUUAUAGUGGUGCCACGGAGUAGAUUAAUCACCACUGACAAGCUUUUAGGCAAAAUUGAGUAAGCAAAAUGGUCAUUGAUAUUUCGAGAAUCAUGUUGAAAGUAAAGCUCAUGGAAUUAUGACGAUUAAAGAAACAAAACUCCUUUUCGAGCAUGGUGAAUCUGUUGGUCUUAUCCUACCAACAUCUGUCAUUAGGUUGACUAUCCUAUUUCAUUUUUUUAAUUUAUUUAUUUCUUUAUUUUUUGUUUAUUGAUAUUGUCUAUUAUGUCAAGUUAGUGCUGGGCUUUUUAGAAGAUUAGUAUAACAUCUAAAAAUGUGGGCAUGCAUUCGUUUACUUUCAAAACUACAUGUGUCUACUUGGCAUUUUGUUAUCCUUAAUGGCUGAAGGCCAUUUACAGAAAUUAUAUUUAUAAUGUACGAAUUACAAUGCAUCACUUAUAAAUUUAUGUCAUAGCUUUUUCUUAUCAUCUGAUUGUUAGAUAGAAUUGUUUUGUUUAUUUAAUGACAAAAUCUCUUGAUUACUAAAUUCUGAUCAUGACUUUUUCUUAUUAUAUGAUUGUUAGAUAAAUCUGUUUCACAUAUUGUUUUUCUUGCUGAAUUUGUUUGCUUUGUUUAAUUGCUCUCUCUAUAGUUGAUUGAAAGCAAUGUAGAAGAUUAAUGCCACUACACUUAAUGGUAUUUGUUUCUUGUUCAUAUAUACUUUAUAAUUCAUCAGCAUCACUCUACACAUGCAUAUAUAAAUCUCAUGUACAAAUUUUUAUACGUACAUAUGCAACACUUCCUGUGCCUUCACCAUUUACUCAAAAACAGUGACUGACUGUGAUUGAUUCAUAAAAUUCAAUUUCUAUUUUUUAUAGAAAUUAUGUCUACUUGCACAAUAAUGCAACAUUGAUAAUAAACUCUUUUGUUUGGAUACAAGGAUUACUCCAAACAAACACAUUGCCUCCAUAGCUCGACUGCAGACUUUUGCUCACCUUUUGUUCAUGAACACGCCACUGAAAUUCAAUUACGAAUUACAUAACAGAAUGUCUUAUCCUUCUUGCAUCAAGGCAACAGUAUUUACCAGAUGCUUUAAUCAUAACUUCUGUGUAUAACUACAAUACUGGCAAUACAUUAGCAAAAUCACUAAUCUUUGGUGCAUAUUUUUUGUAACAGAAAGCACUGUAUGGAUUCAAAAUUAGUAUCAAAACCUUUGUAGCAACAACAAUAUAU